ACCAAAAGUUUGCUAACCCCUAAAAUUAAGAAAAUGGUCUAAGAGUUCUCUUUUCUGCAAAAGAAACUUAAGCCACACCAUCCAAAAACAAUUACUUUGGACUCCUCCAUGAAAAUGGAUACUAGGAGGCAAAUUACAGUCAGAAUGGUUUAAAGAUACAAUCUUGAAUUUUUAAAAUAAUCUUUCAAGUGAUUGCAAAGAAUUUCACGAACUUCAAAGGAAAAUAUUUACCUCCUUCAUUCUAACUGCAACCAGUUUUGCCCCAAAGUUAUAUGGUACCAUGAGUAUUUUGAUCUCCCCAGUCCUAUAUUUAGUGGCCCUCGCAGGGGGGCCACUAAAUAUACAGUGCAGUAGUCCUUUUCAUAUGAUGAGGGCAAAAUUAUAUAGUAUUUAUAGACACCAGUUAUAGUAGUACCUUGUGUUCCAUAUUCUCACCUAAAUGUUUGCUGAGUCAAGUCAGUGUUUAGAUGAGUUUUAUUUACAUGACUCUUUAAUAAUACAUGGAAUCCUGCUGGGAAAUAUGGUCCUUAUCUAAAAGAAAUGUGCAUGCCACUAACACCACUCCCCAUGUAUUCCAGAGAUACUUUGAAAACUGCUUAAAUAAUCAAAGACUUUACAUUUCUCUCUGAAUCAUAGUCACCCUGUGU
rnacentral:lncRNA from 1 species